rnacentral:misc_RNA from 1 species
GAUGAAGAACGCAGUGAAAUGCGAUAAGUAAUGUGAAUUGCAGAAUUCAGUGAAUCAUCGAAUCUUUGAACGCACAUUGCGCCCGCCAGUAUUCUGGCGGGCAUGCCUGUUCGAGCGUCAUUUCAACCAUCAAGCCCCCCGGCUUGUGUUGGGGACCUGCGGCUGCCGCAGGCCCUGAAAAGCAGUGGCGGGCUCGCUGUCACACCGAGCGUAGUAGCAUACAUCUCGCUCUGGGCGUGCUGCGGGUUUCGGCCGUUAAACCACCUUCAUAACCCAAGGUUGACCUCGGAUCAGGUAGGAAGACCCGCUGAACUUAAGCAUAUCAAUAAGCGGAGGA